rnacentral:lncRNA from 1 species
AUUGAAGUUGCUCGGAAUCAAAAUUGAUUAAAAUUUAAGAGGAAUAUCAAUGAUAACCUUUUGAUCCUCAGACAAGCACUAUGAUCACUUUCAUCCUGAAGAGUAGCCUGCACUAGAACAAUUAACUGAUCACUUAUACCCAAAGUACUAUUUUCCCCAUUCAAGCACUGCACCUCCACCUUAGUAGCAGCAUCUUAUUAGGGAGGGAUUACUAUCUCCACCUCAGCAGAGGUCUCAAUGGCGAUACCCUCCUCCCUUGCAUAGAAAGUUGAGCUUCAUUGCCUGGUGGAGUACUAGCUGUCACCAAUACAGUUGGUUGGGCUUUUGCAGGUACUUUCUUCUGAGCAUAUGACCUCUCUUGAGGUAGAUCAACAAUGAUAGUAGCCCUGACUCCAUCCAUAUCAAGCUCAAUAUAUGAGGGACAGUGUUGGCCCUUCCCCGGCCGAAUACACACCUUCACAUCAAAGCCUUCACGAAUAAACUGAUUAAUAGGCAUUCCACAUCGACUUAGAAUCCAGUACUCAAUCCCCUCCUUAGUGAUUAGCUGUGGUGGGAACAUCACGCAGUGUAAUCCAAGUAGGGAUUUCCUUGGUUUCCAGAUCCAACAGAGCAAUACCCGGAAACCACUUAUGCAGAAUCAUAGGGCAAUGGUGAAUAUGCCAUAUCCAACUUAGAACCCAAUCACAGAGUGAAAUGGACGAAAAUUCCAUUUUGUAAAACCCCUCCGAAAUCUUGGAGAGAACAACUUCACCUUCAUACCCCGGAGUCGGUUGAUCAUAGACGAGAUAACUCGGAGAGCAGGGGGAGAACCAAUAAAUUGAGCGACAGCAGCAGAUCUCAGCUUUUUGCAAUCCCUUCUCAAUGAUAGCUUUGACGAUGGAGAGGACUCCAUUGGCCACAGUUGAGUCCGACACCUCAACCCGCUACAGAUGAAUGAAUCUAUUUGAACUGUAUAUGUACAUCAUUUUAU